ACUAUGUGCUAGGCAAUGGCUGGAUGCUAGAGCUCUCCGGCCAGGGAUUGAACCUGCACCCCUUGCACUGGAAGGUGAAACCGUAACCACUGGACUACCAGGAAAGUCCCUGCCUACUCUUAAUUAUCAAGGAUGAGACUCAAACAAGCUGAUAUCCUGGGAAAGGGGACAGAACAUUUUGUAUUUGAUGAAGAGAGCCCUUCACUUAAUAUGUGGAGUUCCGGAGAAGGAGAGACCAAUUGCAUGAAGAGAUCAGGCCUUCGUAUGAGAAAGAAAUGGGAAUAUUCCAGAUCUGCUGAAGGCAGACUCCUCUUAGGCUGAACUGGAAGGCAGUUGAAGUUAAGAACACUUCCUAGAUGACAUGUUCACCCUGGCAUGAUUUCAAGCCUUUACAGAAAAAAAUGGCUGAGCGUCAGAGGGUGGACUUGUGCCUGCAAAAUGGAAGAGAUGAAACCUUGGAAUUAUAACCCAGAGCAGGGACAAGCAAUCAUUCGCUGGAGCAGGGCCAAGAGGGACAGUGGUGCCAAUGGGCUGAUGACAGCGUCCAGUUCUUUCUCUCCCUCUUUCAUCAUUUGAUUUCUGGACGCUACUUGUGCUCGUGGACAAUAAGGGGUGUGUAUUGUAAAACUGUGAGGAGGGAGGAGGCAGUGCUUGAGAGGACAGAAAGGGUAUACAAAACUU
ensembl:lncRNA